AACGCACGAGACCUGCGGACCUGCGGAGGGAUCAUUAGUGAACGCCCUCACGGGCUUAUAACUAUUCCAAACCUCUGUGAACCGUGCCCUUCGGGGCUAUUUUACAAACAUGGUGUGAUGAACGUCAUAUAUCAUAACAAAACAAAACUUUCAGCAAUGGAUCUCU
rnacentral:misc_RNA from 1 species